GACGUAGGAUGCAAGCGUUGUCCGGAAUUAUUGGGCGUAAAGAGUUCGUAGGCGGCAUAUCAAGUCUAGUGUUAAAUACCGGGGCUCAACUCCGGAAAGGCACUGGAUACUGGUAAGCUUGAAUGCAGUAGAGGCAAGGGGAAUUCCUAGUGUAGCGGUGAAAUGCGUAGAUAUUAGGAGGAACACCAGUGGCGAAAGCGCCUUGCUGGGCUGUUAUUGACGCUGAGGAACGAAAGCCAGGGUAGCAAAUGGG
rnacentral:rRNA from 1 species